rnacentral:tRNA from 1 species
GGACAAUUAGCUCAGCUGGUUAGAGCGUUCGCUUCACACGCGAAAGGUCAGAGGUUCGAAUCCUCUAUUGUCCACCA